UACGAAGGGUGCAAACGUUGCUCGGAAUUAUUGGGCGUAAAGAGCUCGUAGGCGGUUUGUCGCGUCUGCUGUGAAAUCCCAGGGCUUAACCCUGGGCCUGCAGUGGGUACGGGCAAACUAGAGUGCGGUAGGGGAGAUCGGAAUUCCUGGUGUAGCGGUGAAAUGCGCAGAUAUCAGGAGGAACACCGGUGGCGAAGGCGGAUCUCUGGGCCGUAACUGACGCUGAGGAGCGAAAGCAUGGGUAGCGAACAGG
rnacentral:rRNA from 1 species